UACGUAGGGUCCGAGCGUUGUCCGGAAUUACUGGGCGUAAAGAGCUCGUAGGUGGUUUGUCGCGUUGUUCGUGAAAACUCACAGCUUAACUGUGGGCGUGCGGGCGAUACGGGCAGACUUGAGUACUGCAGGGGGAGACUGGAAUUCCUGGUGUAGCGGUGGAAUGCGCAGAUAUCAGGAGGAACACCAGCGGCGAAGGCGGCGCUCUGGGCCGGUACUGACACUGAGGAGCGAAAGCGUGGGUAGCAAACAGG
rnacentral:rRNA from 1 species